rnacentral:tRNA from 1 species
GGGCCGGUAGCUCAGGUGAUUAGAGCGCACGCCUGAUAAGCGUGAGGUCGGAGGUUCAACUCCUCCCGGCCCA